rnacentral:rRNA from 1 species
UACGGAGGGUGCGAGCGUUGUCCGGAAUCACUGGGCGUAAAGGGCGCGUAGGUGGCGCGGGCAGUCAACGGUGAAAGUUCGGGGCUCAACCCUGAAUCGGCCGUCGAUACUCCCGGGCUUGAGCACUGUAGAGGCAGAUGGAAUUCCGGGUGUAGCGGUGGAAUGCGUAGAGAUCCGGAAGAACACCGGUGGCGAAGGCGGUCUGCUGGGCAGUAGCUGACACUGAGGGCGCGACAGCGUGGGGAGCAAACAGG